CCUAGGGGGGCUGCAGUGGGGAAUAUUGGACAAUGGGCGAAAGCCUGAUCCAGCCAUGCCGCGUGUGUGAAGAAGGCCUUCGGGUUGUAAAGCACUUUCAGUGGGGAAGAAAGCCUUGGGGCUAAUACCCUCGAGGAAGGACAUCACCCACAGAAGAAGCACCGGCUAACUCCGUGCCAGCAGCCGCGGUAAUACGGAGGGUGCGAGCGUUAAUCGGAAUUACUGGGCGUAAAGCGCGCGUAGGCGGUCUGAUAAGCCGGUUGUGAAAGCCCCGGGCUCAACCUGGGAACGGCAUCCGGAACUGUCAGGCUAGAGUGCAGGAGAGGAAGGUAGAAUUCCCGGUGUAGCGGUGAAAUGCGUAGAGAUCGGGAGGAAUACCAGAGGCGAAGGCGGCCUUCUGGACUGACACUGACGCUGAGGUGCGAAAGCGUGGGUAGCAAACAGGAUUAGAUACCCCUGUAGUC
rnacentral:rRNA from 1 species